rnacentral:rRNA from 1 species
UACGGAGGGGGCUAGCGUUGUUCGGAAUUACUGGGCGUAAAGCGCACGUAGGCGGCUUUGUAAGUUAGAGGUGAAAGCCCAGGGCUUAACCCUGGAAUUGCCUUUAAGACUGCAUCGCUAGAAUCGUGGAGAGGUGAGUGGAAUUCCGAGUGUAGAGGUGAAAUUCGUAGGUAUUCGGAAGAACACCAGUGGCGAAGGCGACUCACUGGACACGUAUUGACGCUGAGGUGCGAAAGCGUGGGGAGCAAACAGG